rnacentral:rRNA from 1 species
AGUGAACGCUGGCGGUAGGCCUAACACAUGCAAGUCGAACGGCAGCACAGUAAGAGCUUGCUCUUACGGGUGGCGAGUGGCGGACGGGUGAGGAAUACAUCGGAAUCUACUUUUUCGUGGGGGAUAACGUAGGGAAAGUUACGCUAAUACCGCAUACGACCUACGGGUGAAAGCAGGGGAUCUUCGGACCUUGCGCGAUUGAAUGAGCCGAUGUCGGAUUAGCUAGUUGGCGGGGUAAAGGCCCACCAAGGCGACGAUCCGUAGCUGGUCUGAGAGGAUGAUCAGCCACACUGGAACUGAGACACGGUCCAGACUCCUACGGGAGGCAGCAGUGGGGAAUAUUGGACAAUGGGCGCAAGCCUGAUCCAGCCAUACCGCGUGGGUGAAGAAGGCCUUCGGGUUGUAAAGCCCUUUUGUUGGGAAAGAAAAGCAGCAGGUUAAUACCCCGCUGUUCUGACGGUACCCAAAGAAUAAGCACCGGCUAACUUCGU